CAAUAGCGUAUAUUAAAGUUGUUGCGGUUAAAAAGCUCGUAGUUGGAGUUCUGCCAGGUGCCGCCUGUCCGCCCCAGUGGUGAGUACGUGGCGCGCAUUUGGCCCUUUCAAGGGGAGCGUAUCUGCACUUUAUUGUGUGGUGCGGGAUCCUUGACUUUUACUUUGAGGAAAUAGGAGUGUUCCAAGCAGGCUCUCGUCGUGCACAGCUCAGCAUGGAAUAAUAGCAUUGGACCUCGAUUCUAAGCUGUUGGUUGCCAGAAGCGAGGUAAUGAUGAAGAGGGAUAGUUGGGGGCAUUCGUAUUUAACUUUCAGAGGUGAAAUUCUUGGAUUUGUUAAAGACGGACUACUGCGAAAGCAUCUGCCAUGGAUGUUUUCAUUGA
rnacentral:rRNA from 1 species